rnacentral:lncRNA from 13 species
UAUUGGUCUAUUUCAUCACCACAAAUAACAGUACCUGAAAUCUUGUGAAUCAACAAAUGAAUUAGUUAAAUAAAUGAAUUUUUAAAAGGCUCUUCACUGGCCACUGGUUAUUCUCCUUUUCAGACCUGUGUUCCUGAAUGCACUUAUCCCCUCAAAGUGGAGACCUGUUCCAAGGACUGGCCCAUGGAGGGGAGAUUAUAUAUAAAGACUAUCAGAUGAGAUGCAGAGACAGCACCUGCUUGUUCUUGACAGCCUGAACUUGAACAUACAAAGUGGGCAGACAGUCGGGAUUGUUGGAAGAACAGGUUCCAGUGAGGACAAGCUCUGCUUUUAUUUCUUUCAGGGAAGUCAUCGUUAGGAAUGGCCUUAUUUCAUCUGGUGGAGCCAGCCAGUGGCACAAUCUUCAUUGAUGUGGUGGAUAUCUGUACUGUCAGCGUGGAGGACCUCAGAACCAAGCUGACUGUGAUCCCACAGGAUUCUGUCGUGUUUUUAGGCACUGCAAGAUAAUGAAACUCCCAGAAAAAUGAUAGGCAGAAGUCGCAGAAAAUGGAGAAAACUUCUCAGUAGGGGAAUGUUGGCUGCUUUGCGUGGCCUGAGCUCUUCUUCAUAAUUCC